GUGAAGCGGCAAAAGCUCAAAUUUGAAAUCUGGCGCUAUUCGUGUCUGAGUUGUAAUUUGGAGAGGCAACUUCAGGUGGGACCCAGUCUAUAUUCCUUGGAACAGGAUGUCAUAGAGGGUGAGAAUCCCGUUCAUGGCUGGAUGUUCACGCUAGUAUGUAGUGCCUUCUACGAGUCGAGUUGUUUGAGAAUGCAGCUCAAAAUGGGUGGUAAAUUUCAUCUAAAGCUAAAUAUGGGCGAGAGACCGAUAGCGCACAAGUAGAGUGAUCGAAAGAUGAAAAGCACUUUGAAAAUAGAGUCAAAAAGUACGUGAAAUUGUUGAAAGGGAAGCGCUUGAGACCAGACAUAGCCUAUGGCAAACAACUGUCCUUCUGGGUAGUGCACUUGUCAAAGGUUAGGCCAGCAUCAGUUAGGAUGGUGGGAGAAAGACUAGGAGAAUGUGACUCCAAUUUGGAGUGUUAUAGAUCCUGGUGUCAUGCCAUCUGUCCUGACUGUGGACCGCGCUUCGGCUAGGAUGCUGGC
rnacentral:rRNA from 1 species